rnacentral:rRNA from 1 species
GGUUGAUCCUGCCAGUAGUCAUAUGCUUGUCUCAAAGAUUAAGCCAUGCAUGUCUAAGUAUAAAUAGUAUACAGUGAAACUGCGAAUGGCUCAUUAAAACAGUUAUAGUUUAUUUGAUAAUUGACAAUUACAUGGAUAACCGUGGUAAUUCUAGAGCUAAUACAUGCUUAAACGCCCGACUUUAUGGAAGGGUGGUAUUUAUUAGACUGAAGCCAAUAUUCCUUGUGUCUAUUGCGGUGAUUCAUAAUAACUGAUCGAAUCUCUUUUUGAGAUAAAUCAUUCAAGUUUCUGCCCUAUCAGCUUUCGAUGGUAGUGUAUUGGACUACCAUGGCAGUAACGGGUAACGAAGAAUUAGGGUUCGAUUUCGGAGAGGGAGCAUGAGAAACGGCUACCACAUCUAAGGAAGGCAGCAGGCGCGUAAAUUACCCAAUCCUGACUCAGGGAGGUAGUGACAAGAAAUAGCAAACCGGGAACCUCAUGGUUUCACGGUAUUGCAAUGAGAACAAUUUAAAACCCUUAGCGAGAAUCAAGUGGAGGACAAGUCUGGUGCCAGCACCCGCGGUGAUUCCAGCUCCACUAGCGUAUAUUAAAGUUGUUGCAGUUAAAAAGCUCGUAGUUGAACCUCUGUCUGGGGCUAGUUUUGGCUUUGGUCAGGCUAGUUCUAGGCAUCCGCCUACAAGACUUAGAGGGCAUUCAGUUGUUCACUAGGAGGAGUAGGCAUUUUACUUUGAAAAAAUUAGAGUGUUUAAGGCAGGCAAUCGCCCGCAUAUAUUAGCAUGGAAUAAUAGAAUAGGACACUUUUCCAUUUCGUUGGUUAUUGGAAUCGUGUAAUGAUUAAUAGGGACAGUUGUGGGCAUUUGUAUUUAAUUGUCAGAGGUGAAAUUCUUGGAUUUAUUAAAGACAAACUAACGCGAAAGCAUUUGCCAAGGAUGUUUUCAUUAAUCAAGAACGAAAGUUAGGGGAUCAAAGACGAUCAGAUACCGUCCUAGUCUUAACUAUAAACUAUUCCGACUCAAUGUUUGACUGGCUUAUAUAACCAGUUGAGCGUUGUAUGAGAAAUCAAAGUCUUUAGGUUCUGGGGGGAGUAUGGUUGCAAAGCUGAAACUUAAAGGAAUUGACGGAAGAGCACAACCAGGAGUGGAUUCUGCGGCUUAAUUUGACUCAACACGGGGAAACUUACCAGGUUAAAACAAUAGUGGGAUUGACAGUUUGAGAGCGCUUUCUUGAUUGGUUGGGUGGUGGUGUAUGGCCGUUCUUAGUUGGUGGAGUGAUUUGUCUGCUUAAUUGCGUUAACGAACGAGACCUUAACCUGCUUACUAGACUGGCGAUCAUCAAUCGUUAGCUCUUCUUAGAGGGACUUUGGUUGUUUUAACUCCAA